rnacentral:lncRNA from 1 species
GGCUCACUGCAAGCUCCGCCUCCCGGGUUCUCGCCAUUCUCCUGCCUCAGCCUUCCGAGUAGCUGGGACUAUAGGUGCCCGCCACCACGCCAGGCUAAUUUUUUGUAUUUUUAGUAGAGAUGGGGUUUCACCGUGUUAGCCAGGAUGGUCUCGAUCUUCUGACCUCGUGAUCCGCCCGCCUCGGCCUCCCAAAGUGCUAGGAUUACAGGCGUGAGCCACCGCGCCCGGCAGCAAAUUUUAAGCCAAGAAAUUGAAUGUUGCCAGAACCCCAGGAACCACCCAGCCUCUUCCCAUAUGACCACUUCCCCACACUCUCCACCUUCCUUACUUCUAUGAUGCCCCUGGCUUCAGAUAGAAAGGCCCUGAACAUCUACUGGGGUUUUGAGAAGAAUAUCAACACUUUCCUAAGAGAAUUUUCUAUCUACACUUCACUUACAGUGUUGACCUGUGUGCCAGUAGCAGGGUGGUGGAAGUGGUCUGCUGUAGGUGCAGGCAAUAAGAGGUAUUGAUGGAUGGUUGGGUGACAUGGACUCCAGUAUGUGCCAUGAAGGAUACGAAGAUGAAGCUGUCAUGAACUCUGCUCUCGAGAAGCUACUGUCAAAGUUUGUUUUUUUUAAACUUGAUAUAUUUGAGGUAGAAUUGACAAGAUUUUAGUAUUGAUGAAAUAAGAUAAAAGGGAUGGUGAAAUUAAUGAUGACUUUAGCCAAAAUAAUUAAUUCAGGUGGGGAGGAGAGAAGGGGAUUGACUGAAUUCUAGUUGACUGAGGCUUACUCAUAGUGGGAAGAGCUGUGAGCCAUGUACUGUUUUAUUUAUUGUUUUGUUUUCGGGUUUUGUUUUUCAAUACCAAAAGUGGAUAUUCAUGGAGUCUGAGAAGCUAGGAUUAGAAAUGCAGUAUGUGACAGCAGAAUGGCAAUGUCAUAAACCGUCACUGUGCUAGGUUCUAGAAAUAAAAUAUAGUUGAUCCUUGAACAACACAGAUUUGAAGUGCCUGGGUCCACUUACAUGCAGAUUUUCAUCCACUUCUGCCAUCCCUGAUACAGCAAGAACAACACCUCCUCUUUCUUCUCCUCCUCAGCCUUCUCAAUGUGAACACCACAAGGAUGAAGACCUUUAUAAUGAUCCAUCUCCACUUAAUUAAGAAUAAAUAUUUUUUCUCU